AACGCGAAGAACCUUACCUGGCCUUGACAUGCUGGUAGUAGAAGCCGGAAACGGUGACGACUCCUCGCAAGAGGAGAGCCAGCACAGGUGCUGCAUGGUUGUCGUCAGCUCGUGUCGUGAGAUGUUGGCUUAAGUGCCGCAACGAGCGCAACCCCUGUGUUUAGUUGCCUGCGAAAGCGGGAUCUCUAAACAGACUGCCUCGCUUUAAACGAGGAGGAAGGUGGGGAUGACGUCAAAUCAGUAUGGCCCUUACGGCCAGGGCUGCACACGUGCUACAAUGCAUGGUACAGAGGGACGCAAGACCGCGAGGUGGAGCAAAUCCCACAAAACCAUGCCCAGUUCAGAUUGAAGGCUGCAACUCGCCUUCAUGAAGCCGGAAUCGCUAGUAAUGGCGCAUCAGCUACGGCGCCGGAAUACGUUCCCGGGUCUGUCACCG
rnacentral:rRNA from 1 species